rnacentral:sRNA from 1 species
GAACGUCGGCAACUGAUGCAUGUAGUCG